rnacentral:rRNA from 1 species
GAUGAACGCUAGCGGCAGGCCUAAUACAUGCAAGUCGAGGGGUAGAGCUAGCUUGCUAGCUUGAGACCGGCGCACGGGUGCGUAACGCGUAUGCAACCUACCCUUUUCUGGGGGAUAGCCCGGAGAAAUCCGGAUUAAUACCGCAUAAGACCGCGAUACGGCAUCGUGAUGUGGUCAAACAUUUAUGGGAGAAGGAUGGGCAUGCGUGCCAUUAGCUAGUUGGCGGGGUAACGGCCCACCAAGGCGACGAUGGCUAGGGGAUCUGAGAGGAUGGCCCCCCACACUGGUACUGAGACACGGACCAGACUCCUACGGGAGGCAGCAGUAAGGAAUAUUGGUCAAUGGGGGCAACCCUGAACCAGCCAUGCCGCGUGCAGGACGACGGCCCUCCGGGUUGUAAACUGCUUUUGUACGGGAAUAAACCCCGCUACGUGUAGCGGGCUGAGUGUACCGUAAGAAUAAGGAUCGGCUAACUCCGUGCCAGCAGCCGCCGUAA